rnacentral:rRNA from 1 species
UACAGAGGGUGCGAGCGUUAAUCGGAAUUACUGGGCGUAAAGCGCGCGUAGACGGUUUGGUAUGUCAGAUGUGAAAUCCCCGGGCUCAACCUGGGAACUGCAUUUGAUACUGCCUGGCUAGAGUAUUGAAGAGGGAAGUGGAAUUUCCGGUGUAGCGGUGAAAUGCGUAGAUAUCGGAAGGAACACCAGUGGCGAAAGCGACUUCCUGGUCAAAUACUGACGUUCAUGUGCGAGAGCGUGGGGAGCAAACAGG